rnacentral:rRNA from 1 species
UAGGGAAUCUUCCGCAAUGGACGCAAGUCUGACGGAGCAACGCCGCGUGAGUGAAGAAGGAUUUCGGUUCGUAAAACUCUGUUGUUAGAGAAGAACAGCGCAUAGAGUAACUGUUAUGCGUGUGACGGUAUCUAACCAGAAAGCCACGGCUAACUACGUGCCAGCAGCCGCGGUAAUACGUAGGUGGCAAGCGUUGUCCGGAUUUAUUGGGCGUAAAGAGCUUGUAGGCGGUUCGUCGCGUCUGGUGUGAAAGCCCAUCGCUUAACGGUGGGUUUGCGCCGGGUACGGGCGGGCUAGAGUGCAGUAGGGGAGACUGGAAUUCUCGGUGUAACGGUGGAAUGUGUAGAUAUCGGGAAGAACACCAAUGGCGAAGGCAGGUCUCUGGGCUGUUACUGACGCUGAGGCUAGAAAGCGUGGGUAGCAAACAGG